GUCUGCAUGGUGAUCGUGGUCAACACCGUGCUGCUAGUUUGGACGCUCUGCCUACUGAGGAAACAUUUUGCCUCGCGCAACAAGGAAGUGUCGAAGCUCAAAGAAACCAGAACCCUGACCCUCAAGGCUGCUGCACGGAUGCUUGUUUUGGGAAGCACCUGGAUUUUGGGAA